AUGGCGUCCAGGCGGUCCGCCGCCGUCGUCUCCUUCCUCUACGGCCCUCGGAUCGUCUCCAGGCCGCCGCCAGCGCUCGCCACCGGACCACAUCCCCGGAGCACCGCCGCCUCGACCUCGCCCGUCCUCGUCCUCCUCCCCGAGCCCGCUUAUGCACAUUUGCAGGGCCCGACCCCGAGAUCGUUGCUGAUGCCACUGAGUACGACUACGAUGUUGACGACCCCUCCUUCUUGCCAGAGCAAUCAGGAUCCAGACACCACCGUCGACGACGACUACUACUCUGGAGGUGCCUACUACUAUGUGCAGGCCGCUGACGAUGACCAGGAGUAG
rnacentral:rRNA from 1 species